rnacentral:rRNA from 1 species
GAUGAACGCUGGCGGCGUGCCUAAUACAUGCAAGUCGAGCGGUAAGGCUUUCACAGAUUAUUUAACCAGAUAAGUUCUUCGGAAAAACUGUUUGCAGCGAUGAUUCCCCGGCUAGGGAAUCAGAGUUGAAUAAUGCGUGAAAGUACACGAGCGGCGGACGGCUGAGUAACACGUAGGAACGUACCCCAAAGUGAGGGAUAAGCACCGGAAACGGUGUCUAAUACCGCAUGUGAUCUUCGGAUUAAAGCUUCGGCGCUUUGGGAACGGCCUGCGCAUGAUUAGCUUGUUGGUGAGGUAAAAGCUCACCAAGGCGACGAUCAUUAGCUGGUCUGAGAGGAUGAUCAGCCAGACUGGGACUGAGAACGGCCCAGACUCCUACGGGAGGCAGCAGUAGGGAAUUUUCCACAAUGGACGAAAGUCUGAUGGAGCAACGCCGCGUGCAGGAUGAAGGGUUUCGGCUCGUAAACUGCUUUAUCUGUGAAGAUUAUGACGGUAG